AGAAUGGAAGUUGCAUGAGAGGAGGAACCUUUACCUGUUUUGUUCAUUGUUAUAUUCCAAGUUCCUAGAACAGAUUUUGGUAUACAUCCAGAGAUCAACACUUUCCUCAUACUAUACACUUUAUCAUAAUGAGAACCAGUGAAGAAAUAAGAUUAAUUGAAUGGAGGUAGAAAAGUAUAGAGCUGUAUAUAAUAAGCUUCGCUAUGAACAUACAUUUCUCAAGUCAGAAUUUGAACACCAG
rnacentral:lncRNA from 1 species